rnacentral:rRNA from 1 species
GAGACUCUGUGCGCGUGCAUAUCAAUAAGCGGAGGAAAAGAAACUAACUAGGAUUCCCUCAGUAACGGCGAGUGAAGCGGGAAGAGCUCAAAUUUGAAAUCUUCAAGGUUCUACCUUGACGAAUUGUAGUUUAUAGAAGUGUUUUCUGUUAGUAGUUUGGCUAAAAGUUCUUUGGAAUAGGACAUCAUAGAGGGUGAGAAUCCCGUAUUUGGUCAUUCUUUCUAGCUGUGUGAUACACUUUCAACGAGUCGGAUUGUUUGGGAAUGCAGUCCAAAAUGGGUGAUAAAUUUCAUCUAAAGCUAAAUAUUGGCGAGAGACCGAUAGCGAACAAGUACCGUGAGGGAAAGAUGAAAAGAACUUUGAAAAGAGAGUUAAACAGUACGUGAAAUUGUCAAAAGGGAAGCGUUUGACACCAGUGUUGUUUAGUUGAAAAUCAAUUCAAUAAUUUUUGAUUCUGAGUAGUAUUGACUUCAUCAGCUUGCUGCUUUCUUCUCAGGAAAUUAUUGAAUGCACUUUUCAGUUAACAAGUCAACAUCAAUUUCUUUUGUUGUAAAAGGGUAAGAGGAAGGUGGCUUACGCUUCGGCUCAAGUGUUUAUAGCCUUUUAUCUCUGCAAUCGGAGAGAUUGAGGUCUGCAGCGUAGAUCCUUCGGGGUUAGGUACAUUGGUGCUAAGCUAUAGCCUUGUAUAGACAACUUGUUGACUAUGCUCAGUCAUGUAGCUUACUCGCUGAUGCUAUUUACCUACGCUUAGGAUGUUGACAGCAGUAUAGACUGU